AUUGAACGCUGGCGGCAUGCUUUACACAUGCAAGUCGAACGGUAACAGGGAGCUUGCUCCGCUGACGAGUGGCGAACGGGUGAGUAAUGCGUCGGAACGUGCCGAGUAGUGGGGAUAACGCAGCGAAAGUUGUGCUAAUACCGCAUACGUACUGAGGUAGAAAGUGGGGGACCUUCGGGCCUCACGCUAUUCGAGCGGCCGACGUCUGAUUAGCUAGUAGGUGAGGUAAAGGCUCACCUAGGCGACGAUCAGUAGCGGGUCUGAGAGGAUGAUCCGCCACACUGGGACUGCGACACGGCCCAGACACCUACGGGUGGCAGCAGUCGAGAAUUUUUCUCAAUGGGGGAAACCCUGAAGGAGCGACGCCGCGUGGAGGAUGAAGGUCUUCGGAUUGUAAACUCCUGUCAUUGGGGAACAAUGCGUGACGGUUAACUGCCGUCGCGUUGAUAGUACCCGAAGAGGAAGAGACGGCUAACUCUGUGCCAGCCGCCGCCGUAACAC
rnacentral:rRNA from 1 species